UUCUUAUCCAGAGAGACUGAGGGACAGGCCCAAUGAAGUCUCGGCAACGGGUUUAUGACACCGUGCCAAUUCCUGCAAAUGCUUCUGCAUUGGAAGAUGAGAA
rnacentral:ncRNA from 1 species